AAACAACCCUUAAGUAUUAAACUUCCCCUCAUUUGUCCAGGUCAAUCUUGUCUAUAUCAAAUACAUUUCAGACCAUGAAGAAAAAUUAUCCAUCUCCCUUCUGCUUCACCAUUCCCUUUAUUUCCUUAUUGCCAAAUAACAGAACGCAAAAGUAUCAGGAAUUUUACAACAUCAAUCACAGGAAAUUUAGAUAUCUAAUUUUUCUUAAUAUAUAAAAUUUCUUUUUUCCCCCAUUUACUUGGUAAUCUGUAAGUCCAAAACACAAUAAAAUUAUAGUGCAAAUUAUCAAAGAUGUCCAGUAAUUGCUCCCAAUUAAUAUCAUGUUAUCAUUCAAGAACUCUUGUCCUAUGCAUUGUGGCAAAUACACAAUUAAUUAGUAAAGAGAGAAAUUACUCAAAAAAUUACGAUAGGGAUGGCAACGGCUGCUGCGGCGAUGACUGAGAGACAAUGAAGCAUCCACAUGAACUAGCGACCGAGAGGCAACGGGUGAAACAAGCUGCGAGCUAACAAAGGGCGUAGAGUGCAGGGUGACAAGCUGCGAGCUAACAAGCUGCGAGCAUCCACCGCCGUCGGGAAGAUAUCAAGGAUGAGCGAUCUAGGGUUUGUGGCACGCACCUUUGAAGAUGAGCUUCUGGCCACGGGGGAGGAUGUUGGUAAGGGGUUGGAUUAGGGUUUUGAGGUCAACCUCAAAGGCGGUUCCACCUGCGGGUUUGGCUAGAAGACGGGUACCUGCGGCUUCUAGCCGCAGGGGAGGACGAGGCGGUGCGCGUUUGCCCACGGCGAGGGAGGAUGUUGGUGAGGGGUUGGAAGCCGCUCGUGGGGGUGCUGGAGGACGAGGCGGCGCAGCUAUGGAAGCUCCCGAUGAAGACCACAGUGGCGAGGCAAAAGGGACGAAGAUGGGUAAACUUGCAGAGAGAGAGAGAGAAAGAGUAAUAGGCAAUGUAAAAUUUUAUUUACAGCUGUAAUUUUAUUAAAAUUUUUUUUAUGUUAAAAGACAAUAAAGUCCCUAGGCCUUAUGUAAUAGAUGUUAAAUAAGUGAGGGUAAAAUUGUCAUUCUGAAGGAAUGGGUUGGUGAGUGGCGAAAAAAAGAGAGGGAAGUUCUGGCGCGCUUCAUAAGGAUAUAUCGCGGCGACACCUUGUCGCCACCAUUUUCUACGCAAUGGCGGCGAUAAAUAAAUGUCGCCACCAUUUCCUAAGAAUCAGUGGCGACAAAUAAAUGUCGCCGCCAUUUCCCAAGAAUCGGCGGCGACGAAAAAAUGUCGCCGCCAUUUCCUAUGAAUCGGCGGCGACAAAUAAAUGUCGCCACCAUAUUAAAUACAUUGGUGGCGACAGUGCUUGUCGCCACCAAAAAGUCGCCACUAAAUAUCCCUUUUGUUGUAGUGUGUAGAGCAAGCUUGCAUUCGUAUAUUGCAUCUCUGUGGACCUUGGGUCCAGGCAACACAUCGACUCUCUUGUCUUGUGUUUUGAUCUGGUUGAUCGUGGUUCGGUGUUGUACGCCCUUGCACCUGGCUUCGGCCAGGGUACCGGUCUCUUUUUGCCGGUUUUUGUUUUGAGCAUACCAGUAUAAUUUAGUCACAGCACUGUGUAUUCUAGACACCAGGUUGGUUUGGCCACCAUCCAAAGGGUGUACGUAUCCGGAUAGGUCGUCGGUGACGUAUGAAUAAGUUUACAGUGUUUGCUCUAUGACAGGCAACGCUUGAAGUCUGUGGACCAAUAUAGCAGUAUCAGAUUGGGUUUGGUUUUAGACUAUUCACCUUUGAGGCAUCUGAUCAGUUGAGUUUUUGGUUACAGUAAUAGUUUCAUUCUUGCUCAGUUAUUAUCCUGUUUCUAUUACUACUGUAGUUGCUCUUAUAUCACAUCAUAUUCAUAUAUGUAGUUCUGUUUCAUAUCAGCAUAUAUAUACUUGUUUAUCUAUCUCCUUUGGUUUCCGGUGAUUACGGCUUGCCUUCGUGGCUCUGUCGUACCCACUGGAAAACCAUGGUUGCGGUUUCUCACCCCCAAAUUCCCCAGGUGAUUCGGGCUUGGAGUUGGCACUUGGGCUCGACGAGAGGACGAUCUAGCUAGUCUGGUAUAGCGACCGUCACCCUGGUUACUUCAUUCCUGCUUUUAGUAGUUUAAAUAAAUGGUUCAGUUAGAUAAUCCUUUGAUUGCUUGAAUGUUGUGAACUGGUUUUAGUUGUGGAUGUUUUCGUUAUUUAUGGUUGUGAUUGUGGAUCUGAGAUUGGAGUUUAUGGAUUCAUGGUUCUAGUUUUAUGGUUUUUGGUCCUUGGAUUUGCGUAUUUUACGGAUUUAUACAUCGUGGAUUUCUACCCCUCAAGGUAGCUGGUUUUCAAAAUAAAGUUUCCGUGUGAAAAACAGUUUUCAAAAGGUUUUCGAAUGGUUUUCAUGAAUGAAUGAAUUAGAUUUUAAAAAUAAAGCUUCCGGGUGGGGAGCACUUUUAAAUAGGAUGAUUGUUGUACUGUGUAUUGCAUCAUCCAGCGCCUAAGGAGUGCUUAGAGGCAUGCAUCAUCUCUAAGGAUUGUUAGCUAUAUGAAAAUGCAUAUCAUGAAUUGGUUGUUGAUUGGUAAUUGUAGAUUGUAGUUGAGAUCCUGUUGUAUCGUUGGUACGCCGUGCAAAUACAAAGGAGACUCUGUCUGAGUGGACGGAGGAACUUUGUAUUUGUGGCGGAUCUGUACAUCGCCUGGGCCAGGUUGAAAAAAAAAAAAAAAAGGCACGUCUUCCGCAACUCUGUUUUCAAAAUGGCUUUUAAAAUCGGCCCCGGGGCGUGACAGUUCGGGUGGUCGCGCGAGAGUUUAGGCUGAACCGGGUCACGAGUGCCGUGGGAGGCCGAUUGCAAUUGACUACGAGCAAUCGGAGAGUAAGUUAAGGUGGGUUGUGUUUACCGAAGCGAUUAGGUCGCCCCGCAUGUCAAAGCGGAAUAUGAAUUUUUGUUGAUGCAUAUGUAUGUACAUACGGGCAUGUUAGCAUUAUGUACAUGUAUGCUAGUGGGUAGAAUACAUGCUAGUGAUAAUUGCAUAAUAAUGUACUGGAAAGUACAUGCUAAUAAGUAGAUGCAAGUGAUAUGUAUGUGUGCAUUAGAAUGUAUGCUAGGUGCAUGUAACAUUAUGUGAGCAUGUUAGAUAAGAUGCAUGUGCAUAUGGACUCGAUAUGACAAAUAGAAUGUCAAGUAGAUCGAGUGGCAUUAACCUAGUGUUAAUAAAUAUAGGUCGGACAUAGAUGACAUUGAACCUAGUGUUAGUAAACAUAGGUUGUAUUGAACCUAGUGUCAUGGACAUAGGUUGGAUAAGAAUGACAUACGAACCUAGUAUUGAUAAACAUAGGUCGGGUAUGAACCUAGUGUUGUUGAACCUAGGGUGAAUCAUGAGUGGCAUCUAACCUAGUGUUAAAGAACAUAGGUUGAGAAUGAACCUAGAGUUAUCUAAACCUAAGUGUGAGGCAUUAACCUAGUGUCGUGAAUAUAGGUUGUAAAUUGGACCUAGAGUUAAAGUAAAUCUAGGUUAUGUGAUUGAGGUAUUAAACCUAGAGUUAGUUGGACCUAGGGUGGAAAGUGCAUUGGACCUGGUUAGGUCGAUAAUAUAGGGUUUGAGACCAACCCUUGAGUUAUGUGAAGUGGAUUCCAGAAUCCCGAGACUUGUGAGCUCAAUAGUUCUUGACCGCGGGUGUAUGUGGCAUGUUCCUCUCCGACCGGAAAAACUUCGAGGAUUGUGACUAAGCAAGAACGGAGAGCGCUAGGGUGUAUGUGGCAUGUUCCUCUCCCUAUCGGGGAUCUCGGCUGCGGGUGUAUACGGCAUGUUCCUCUCCCACCGGGGGAUCCCUGACAGCGGUGCACGGACCUUCGGGCAGACCGUUGGGCGAUGUAGUUCUUGGCUUGCAAGCUGAGGUGCAUGUGAGAGUUCCUUCACCUCAAGCCAGGCAGAGCGCGGAUUAUCCGCAGUUGAUUGACUCGAGGCCGAGUCGGGUGGCUAGCUGGAAUAAGGUAGAUAGAACCUUGAGGGCUAGUGGUAAAUGUGAUAAAUCUAAGGUAAUAGAGACCUUAGAAGCGAGUGGGACUUUAGUUAAACAAAUAACUAAAUCCACAGUUAACAGUUAUUAAUAAACAACAAGUAACAAACUAAACUAAGCCAUGUGGAUCUGAAACAUAAAGCCAAUCUAACUAAACAGAGAUACAUAGUAAUAAAAGUCAAUGAUGGAUAACUCUGGGCACAACUAUCUAGUACCGUUCUCACGCGUCGUCCCGAUCCUCACCGCUGGUGUCACUUGAAAAAUGGUAGUGAGUGAGAAUAUGUAAACAUGUCUCUCUUUCUAGUGGGUACCGCAAGCCAACAAAGGCGAGCUAUAUUUACCGGUAAAAUCAUGAACAGAUAUCAUAAGUAAUGCAGUAAUAGUGCUGAAAGAAAAAUAACUGUAAAGAGAAAUACAACUAACCUCUACUGUAAUGUACAACAGAAUGCAAGUAUAUAUUCAUCAACCUCACAGAUCAUCCAAAAAUACCCAAUCAAAUCCGUCAAGUUAGUCUAAAGACCUAAAGCAAUGCCACAUCAUACUCAACCACCUGGCAUAUAAUCGUAGCAACAGGCCGCUUGGGCUCACAGGUCUGAAAUACGACCACUUUUUCGAAAAGGAACACCCUCCUAUGGUGGAUCAGACCGCUGGUGUACGUAAAAUGUACAUUGAGUUGUGGCGAUCGAUGCAAUAUGUUCAAUAGCCAAUCGUCAAUAAAUAGCCGAGAGAAAUUCCACAAGAAGUCGCUAACCAAUUAGGUCAAUCUCAGAGUGUUACCGACCAUAAGUUCAACUAAUACCAAGUCAUGUGAUAUGCCACUAGAAGUGUCACAGACCACAAGGUCAAUGAAUGUCAAAUCAUGUGAUAUACAAAUAGGAGUUUCACCGACCACAAGGUCAAGUAAUGUCAUAUCAUGCAGUAUACAUCUAGGAGUGUCACCAACCAUAAGGUCAACUAAUGUCAAGUCAUCUGCUAUAAUCAUGCAAUAGAUAACUCGAUCACAAGGGAGCACCGCUCUACCACUAAAUCAAGAUAAUAUGAAAUAGGAGUAAGUGUAGAGCAACAAGCUACAAAGUCAAGUGGUAUACGAAAGCUCAAUAGUAUAAAGUAAAUAAAAGGAGAUAAUAGGGACAGAAGUCGCCAAGCAUGCACCGCUUUGUCGACUUCGGAUUGAAGCAUUCACCUCUACUGUACAAUAAAACCGGGUCGUCGACCCUUUACUGAUGCUUUCCGCUAUCAUCCGAAUCUAUGCACAAUCCCACACAAAGCCGUAAUUAGCCCAAAAUUGCUAAUUACCCAAAAGCCUAGGACUCUAAGUGAGUCUAACCAUUGAACAAUCGGAUUUUCGUAUUCCGAUCGACAGUCAAAGAAAGAUCGCUCGAUUGUCGCACCGACUUGUCAGAAUGUCAUCCCAACUCACAAGGUGUUUCGAAACAAGUCCUACAUAUCAUACCUCUCCCACUAUCCCAACACAUCAUAUUAAUGCUAUUGGGGCAGCCGCACGAGUAGAGCGCCAAAACGAAAAAUCGGAAUCUCGAAAAUCAUCAGUUUGGCUUCUAGGGUGCCCAUUUCGGCACCAGAACCACCUACAGCCUUCUUGCUGCAAGUAGAGGGGUCAAAACUCGCCCUAACACUAACCAAUAAGGCUUCUACCCUACUGCAAAUAGAAGCAACCUGCGCGACAUAAAAUUGCGCACAAAAUCGCUAGAUUUUCGCAUUUCGGGGUUUCGUUAAGCCCCGAAGUGUUCCAAAACACUCCGAAGGUCAAUUAAAUCUCCUUGCCAUCUUGAAACACUCACUUUUGGAUGUCAAGACAGCUGUUUACCAAGUGGUACGAUCUAGAGGCGAAUUUCCAAAAAUCCACCGUACCGAGUUCCCGAAAAUCAUUUUAGCUCCGGAACCCACCUAGGGCCCAUCGCCGGUCCGUGUUUCGCACCAGCAAGGCCCCAGCUAGCCAACGAGGCUACUCUACUGCUACAACCAGCAGCCAAUCCCGCUCCACAAAAAUGGGCCAAAAUCGCAUGUGAUAUUCACUUAAACAACCAUUUUUAUGUGCCAAAUGCCACAAAAUCUAAAUUUAGGGAUUCCCAAGCCUCGAACAUCAAGUUCAAACAUCUUAAACCUGAAUCAUGCUUAUUGGGAUAGCCACAAUGCAAAAAGCGUCGUUGCAGCAUUCCACCGAACACUCAGCGCAUGAUAAAUAACAUACUAACACAGUGUUUUGAGCCAUACCGCAGAUUCCACGACUUCAAAAUCCAAAUGAAGAUAUGGUCCAGAAGAGCUCGACAUUCCGGACACUGUGCUCGCUGUUCAGAGCGAAUCCGAGCACCGAGGAGUGCAUCGAGGCAAGUUGUCCGCUGAGCCAAAAGUCCUUCGGGGAGCGACAUCGUCUAAUCAGCAAAUAAGUACCAAUCAAACCCUGACAAAGAUGAGCAUGGCAAUGUAUGAGUGCCUCACAAGGCCGUGCUCACCUGUUGGAUGGUCACCGACAGCCUGGGUAGCCGAAAAAAGAGGUGGGGGCCAAACCCAGCCCUACCCGAACGCAACAAUGAGCAUCAAGGGCUACUAUGUACCUGCUAGCAUCAGCAUGGUACGGAGGCGGCAAGCGCCGGCUAGGAGGAGUCCAUACUGACAUAGGGGAGGCUGGGACAAUAGGUUCCACGGCCAGAGGGGCCUGCGGCGGAAGUGGUGCAAUAGCAAUGCCGGUUGCAAAGUGCAGCCGACCCUCAAGUCUAAAGAAGUCCGCGUGGUUUCGAGCAUCAAGAGGGUAGGGGCAGCCAUGGCGGUGAUAGUGAGGACGGCCAUGGCGGUGCUGGUGAGGUUCACUUGAGCCACCCGUGAACCAGCGGGGCAACAGCGAUGGCGACGGCGACCGUGCCCAACUCGAGAGAGAGAGAGAGAGAGAGAGAGAGAGAGAGAUCACGUGAAGAAGAUCACGCCGCCCACCUCGCUGACCGGAUAGGCAGCUGGCGGCGGCGCUGGUCCUAGAGGGGCCUAAGGUUAGGGUUCCAAGCCCCUCCCCCCUCCUCUCAUCUCUCUCAAUAUAAAACAUGUAUUACACACACACACACACACACACACACACACACACACACACACACACACACCUGGUUUAUAGAAAAACUACAUGAAAGCCCCUCAUUUUUUCCAUAUUCAAACACCCUACCAGAGCGCGCAAUUUGCACAAUAACCCUUCCGAUGCCAUUCCAAGUGUUUUGGUACACGAAGUAUCGUGCUCCAAUCAAAAGACCUCUCAAUCUCCAAUUCUCUCCCAAACUUCGUACCUAUGCUAUUUUGCACAGGUAACCCCAAAAUCUACAAAAUUUGAGUCGCUCAAUCCUCUCCAAGUCUAGUUUCACCUGGAUCCAUUCGCUCGCUAAAACUGUAAAAUUUCUUACAUAAAAUGAUAACUCAUAUGUGAAAUGCUCCAAAUUUGUACUUUACAAAAACUGCAACAUAAUCCUUUGAGUUUCUUGCCAAAAACUCACUGGUGCAUGCAUCAUGCCAAGUGGCACCUUUUCAUGAAUUUUCAAGCAAAACGGAAUACCAAAAAAUUCUAAAAAGUAAAAACAUCAGAUAACAAAAGGCCAAUCUCAAUAAAAGCAUAUUUGCUCAAAAAUUGUGUGUCAAACGUAAAAUUAGAUAGUGCCAUCACCUCCGGCACAUCUGAACCAUCGAAAACGAAGUCCGAUUCAUGUCUGAAGCCAUCCUCAAGCCAAGCUUGCAGGUUACUACUUAUUUAAGUGAAUAGUAUCAGUCACUAUACACCUUUAAUGAAAACUCUUUUUUAACCAAAAAUUAAACCAGUAAUUUCAAAAUUAAAAUAUAUAUAAAAAUACUGUUAAAAUCGAAACGGCGAAAAAUAGAUUCAGAAAAUAACUUAAUGUAGGAAAAGAAAAGAUAAGGAAAGACCACACCGAUAUUUACAUGGUUCGGCCACCGGCCUACAUCCACGGGCGAAGACGGAGCAAAAAAUUUAUUAAUGUCGAAAGGUAGAGUAUAAGAAAAUCUCUCAAAGACCAAAACUUAAUUAGAUCGAAAACGCCAAAAUCCACAUCCGUACAUGCGACUCCAAAUAAGCGGCUCGGCUCACCAAAGGAAGGAUGUACGGCACCAUGCACCCUGGCUGAUGGUGUUUCUGCCAUCAUACGAACCAUCACAAGCCACUUAAUUAAUUAGUGCAUCACAACUCCUCCGACAGAAACAAGCAACUUCACCUUUAAUUAAUUAGCAUGGCAUCUUAAUAGGGCCGGCUUCUUGCAGAACCAAGAACUCUCUAAUAUGCAAGGCUUAAUUUGAGUUACGGCGUCAUUAACUUGGCCGUAGCAUGUAUAUAUAAUACAUGUCUCCUAACUAGAGUCUAAUCCUAAUUCAAUUAGAAUUACACUCCUAAUUAUAAUCCAUAUAUGCCAAAUUAAAUCUAAAUUAUAUAUAAUCCUGUCACGCCCCGAAUUACCAUGUUUCUCCGGACAUGCCAACAAACCCGCCGUAUACAUAGGAAUUCUCUGUGUAUACGAAGCGAUAGUUGUACCUGCAAACAAAUAGAAGCUACAACCAAAGUACCGAGCUACUAAAACUAAAACAUAUAUAAAAUAUAAAGGGUUCACUGUACAUACAAAAGUCCGCCAUAACACCUCGAUCCAGCGAGUACACAAAACACGGAGUAUGUACCUGAAAACAACCCACUACCUCUGACAAGUACUCUACUAGCACGGCGACCACGGGUGACAAGGAUCUAUCUCGCGACUCCCUUCCCACGAUCAGAAUCAGCAACAGCAGCAGCUGCAGACAAAGGCUCUACAAAAAGGUAUCAACAACUGGGUGUGAGAACUACUACAAAAUAGAGUAGUCUUCAGUGGGUACCGUCACCGACCUCAACGGCCCAUCCACUAAGUCUACAAGAAGGUAUGCAAUGGAUAGUAAGGAAAACUGAAAAAACUCUACAGCUAUACACCACUAUACUAUCGCUAACCAACACAGGUUAUCUGUAGACAUAAACAUGCAUCACACUAAUCCAAUCUCACUAGGGCUGCCCAAACGGACCCACCCUUUCUGUAAUCAAGCUACACCAUACACCAUCCACAGGGAUGGUUGGUCCAAACAGGACGGCCGCGACAUCAACGCAAAUCAAAGCCUCACUCUGAAGCGGCACUCGUAGACGCGACCCAACCGAGGAUGCAAGUGUGUCUCUGCCGAGCGCAAAUAGGCUCACACAGGCUAUAGUCAAUGAAAAAGGGUACAAACUGGUCUAACAACCAAAACUCACAUGCCCUCGGCACAAUCUGCUGCACUAUACAGAAAUCUGGAUCCACCGUCAACCACAACGACCCCCGACAGUACUGAACAGUCCAAACGCUGCUGUAAAAACAAACUCGGCUCUUCAGCACGAGCGUAAUCUCAACCUGCACUAGCCUGUGUAUCCACCUCGCACUAAAGCGGUGAUACAAAAGAAUGACAGCUCCUAAAGCUAAUUCAGUUACUUUUCGAAAAAGAAUAACAUGUAGGUUAUAUGAGUUUUCUCCUAAGUCAAUUCUAGGUUCAGCAUAUAAAUUAGUCUAAAUUCUUAGAUCAUGCUCCAAAACUCAGAUUUUAUAAAACAUGCAAAUUCUAAAUAUGAGCUACUAUCAUGAUAACCAAAAAAAAACCACAUAAUGACAACUCUACGAUUUAGGAGGAAAUCCGACGAUUUCGGUAAACAUCAACCCACCUCGAACGCUCGUCCAACGUCGUCUAGAAGUCGAAAGGAGCAAUCCCGCACACUCACUCGACCUCCAACGGCUCAACCGAGACACCCACGCGCACGAACGGUCCUCCUAAGAAACGAUGAACCCGAAUGAGCCUCGAUCCUCAAAUAUCCAAUGCACGAUGUACACCAGCUAGAGAGAGAGAAGGAGGAAAAAUGUUGUUCUAUAAGCUCCCAACGCAUAUAUAUAUAUAUAUAUAUAUAUCUAUAUACUAUAUAUAUUAUUAUAUACAAACAUAUAUAUAUAUAAUAUAUCACACGAAUUAUAUAUAUACACACAUAAUAUAUAUAUAUAUACACACAUAUAUAUAUAUAUACACACAUAUUAUAUUAUAACACACAUAUAUAUAUAAUACACACAUAUAUAUAUAAUAUCACACAUAUAUAUAUAUAUACACACAUAUAUUUUAUAAUAUAUUAUACACACAUAUAUAUAUAUAUACACACAUAUAUAUAUAUAUAUUCACACAUAUAUAUAUAUAUAACACAUAUAUAUAUAUAUCACACAUAUAUAUAUAUAUAUACACACAUAUAUAUAAUAUAUAUAUCACACAUCAUAUAUAUAUAUAUACACAUAUAUAUCAUAUAUAUAUGAGAGACGAGAGAGAGAGAGAGAGAGUGCGGCUAGAAUGCUUAUGGAAGCACGGAGGGCUCCAUGCUUCACUUUGUUUUUCGAUGUUAGACUUCAAAUCGAUGAUCGGCUCCGUUAGACUUGAUCUAGAGUAUUUGAAAAUAAAAAUCUAAGAAAAUAAAUUUUGCGAUUUUUCGAUAUCAUUUGCCUAGUGAUCGAAGUGGCUCAAAAUCACGGCUGAAAAUAAAAAUCUUACAAAAUAUGAUGAUAUGACAUUAAAAUUUUAGAUCAAAGUUUAUUGAUCUGUUUUAUAUGGUAUAAAGAAUUUUCUAUCAAAAUUUCAGUGAUUUGGAUAUUUCUACAUCGUUAAACUUGCAACCGGCUCACGACACGACCGUUAAAAUUAUUGAUUUUGAGCCCCUUCGAUCACUAGGUAAAUAAUAUCGAAAAAUCGCAAAAUUUAUUUUCUAGGUACUUCAAAACUCUAGAUCAACUCUAACGGACCGAUCGUCGAUUCGAAAAUUCCGAACAUCGAAAACGACUUGGAAGCACGGAGGCCUCCGUGCUUCCAUAAGCAUACCAACACAACUCUCUACAUAUAUAUAAUAUAUAUAUUAAUAUAUAUAUAUAGAUAUAUUAUAUAUUAUAUAAUAUAUAUAUAUAUAUAUAUCUAUAUAUAUAAUAUAUAUAUAAAAGCUGUGUUAGGUUGGAAUAAUGCGACAAUCAAAAGGACAAAAAUAUCCCUUACCAACUCACUUUUCCACUAGAGUGCCGGUACUCCAGUUUGAAUACCAUUACUCGCCCCUUCCCGCACACAUCGCGCGUUAGGUACGGAUACUAGCCCGAUGAAGUACCAGUUCAACUGGUCGCCCCGGUACUCAACACAGGUACCAGUACUCAGUCUCAAAACCAUGCGCAACCCGAGAGCAUCAGUUCUACAAUCCCACUGGGUGUACCGAUACUUCUCCCCAGGUACCGGUACUCAAACUGAAAUACCUGCACUUUGCAGAUUUCAGUGUCAGAACUACUCUCGGCUCUGCGCGCGAGUCUUUUGCGUCAAUUCGCACCAAAAUUAUAUCCGACUUGUCCCGACACCACAGACGUGUCAACAACCUCAGAUGCUGAAAUUUCUCAGACCGUUAAACACCAGGGACACUACAAAUCCCAAUUAGAUUAGGAUUUAACUCCAAUUUAGGUAACUAAACCAAAUAUAACAAUCUCCACCUUAGUUUAAUUUGUAGUUUAGCCACCGCUAUGUCGAGGUCGCCACAAAACUCCACCUUGAAUUUGAUUCGCCUCAAUACUCCUUAACGCUCCGUGUUUCGUCUUCUCCAAACGCCCCAAAGGGCCUCAAAUGCUGCUAACCGCCACCAAGUUCAAACAAUGCUUGAACUUAGUAAUAGUAAGACACUUAGUAAGCAUAUCCGCCGGAUUGUCAUCAGUACCAAUUUUCUUAACAAUCACCGUGCGUUUCCCAAUCACAUCCCGAACAAAGUGAAACUUUACAUCGAUGUGCUUUAUCCUCUCAUGAAACAUUUGAUCUUUCGACAAAUGAAUAGCACUUUGACUGUCUGAAUAAAUAAUCAUCGGAUCCCAACAAAAAGUAAGCUCUCCAAAUAAGCCUCUUAGCCACAUAGCUUCCUUCACACCCUCUGUCAUAGCUAUAUAUUCCGCCUCCGUCGUGGACAAGGCGAUAAUAGGUUGUAAUGAAACUAUCCAACUAAUUGCACAUUCGAUAAUAGAGAAUACAUAACUUGAAAGUGAUCUCCUCCUAUUCAAAUCACCUGCAAAAUCCGAAUCAACAUAUCCAACCACACCAUCCUUACAACUCCCAAACUCCAAAUAAGUGCUAGUGGUACCUAGUAAGUAUAUCAGAAUCCACUUAACAGCCUGCCAAUGAGCCUUACCAGGAUUGGUCAUAUAUUUGCUAACCAUGCUCAUUGUGUAGGAGAUGUCCGGCCGUGUGCAAACCAUGGCGUACAUGAUGCUCCCAACAGCACUAGAAUAGGGAACAUGAGACAUGUACUCCCGCUCAUCAUCAAACUGCGGUGAUAACUCGGCGGAAAGUCUGAAAUGUACCACAAAAUGAGUGUUCACUGGUUUUGCGUCUGUCAUCCCUAAACGCCUUAAAAUCUUCUCUAUAUAUUUCUCCUGUGUCAAAUGCAGUAGUCCUGACUUAUUGUUCCUCUUAAUUUUCAUACAAAGAAUUUUCUUAGCAGCAUCUAGAUCUUUCAUCUCAAACUCACCCUUAAGUAAAGCCUUCAAUUUAUUUAUCUCGACUAUGUUGCUGAAAGCAAUUAACAUAUCAUCGACAUAGAGCAACAAAUAAGCAAACUGAAAAGAAGAUUAAGAGACUAAGGACCGACAACAGUUUGGAAUUUUGUUCGUUAGACUUUGAAAAAUUUUGCAAGAAUGGAUGAAUCGUCAGACAUAAAACCGUUAGGCAUACUCCACAGUAGAACGGGAGGUCGAACGGAUGAACAUAUCUCUUUUGGAGAGAGCUCGUUGUAUGCUCUCUAAUGCUGGCUUAGCUAAGAGUUUCUGGGCAGAGGCGAUUUCUACGGCAUGCUAUUUGGUAAAUCGAUCUCCACAUUCAGCACUUGAUUGAAAAACUUCGGAGGAGGUAUAGUCUGUUAGCCCUUCUGAUUAUUCUAAUUUGCAAAUAUUUGGUCGUCUUGCUUACGUUCAUGUCAAUGAAGACAAGUUAGAACGUAGGGCUAAAAAGUGCAUUUUUUUUUGUUAUGCAUCGGGGGUUAAGGGAUAUAGAUUGUGGUGUCCUGAAUCGUUUAAAUUAAUUAUUAGUAGGGAUGUCACAUUUGAUGAAUCGUUUAUUGGUUAUGCUAUAUCUUAACCGUAAUUCUUCUGAUAAGACCCCGAGUGCUAGUAAGCCGGUGGAGGUAGAGACCAAUGGUAUAGUUCAGUCGCAGAAUUCUUCUCAGUCAGAACAAGUUCAGUCGGUAGACACCCCAGUAACUGAAACCCACAAGUUGAGAGGCAAAGCAUUUCUACAGGCAGAGCGAGGAGACAGAUCAAGCAUUGCAGAGAUACGAUUAUGAAAAUAUGGUUGCUUACGCUCUUUCAGUGGCACAAGAUACAGAAGAAGAAGGCAAACCUUCCACAUAUAAUCAAGCUAUUUCUAGUGCCAAUUCUGCAGAGUGGUUGGUGGCGAUGAAUGAGGAGAUGGAGUCUCUCCAUAAGAAUCGCACAUGGGAGUUUGUAAGAUCGCCUACAGGCAAAAUUGUUGGCUGCAAGUGGGUUUUCAAGAAAAAGGACAGAAUACCUGGCGUGGAAGAUACAAGGUAUAAAGUUGUUUAGUUGCUAAGGGCUACAGUCAAGUAGAAUGUGUUGACUUUAAUGAUAUUUUCUCACCCGUCGUAAAGCAUACUUCUAUUCGUGUUCUUUUAUCGUUAUUAGCCAUGAAUGACCUGCAUCUUGAGCAGCUUGAUGUUAAGACAACUUUUUUGCAUGGAGAACUUGAUGAGCAAAUUUAUAUGAAGCAGCCGGAGGGAUUCAUUGUUGAAGGAAAGGAGGAUCAUGUUUGCCUGUUAAAGAAAUCGCUUUAUGGCUUAAAGCAGUCUUCUCGACAAUGGUACAAGCGGUUCGAUUCUUUCAUGAUAGGUCAUGGAUAUUCUUUUUUGAACCUUUCGUCUCAACCUCUGAAAAUGAGUGCGAUCCGAGACGUAUUCCUCGGUCCAAUCAAAUUCAAAUUCUCUGACAUAAUCUGUAGCGCAAUCUUUUGUACGGUUUAAUCCUGGCCGCUGAUUUUCUUCUUUGCGGCCUUGAUCACAUUCUCUAUCUUUGUCUCAUAUGCGGCAUUAAUUAGGUCAUCUUAAUUGCCGCUGUCUAUUCAUCAUUAUAGCCGACUUCGGAACUCGUAACCGAUGCGACAGAUAGCCCUUUCUUCUUCCCCAAGUUCCUUUUUGUCUCUUCUAUCUCUUAUAUCUUUUUUUCCAUCUUCUCUUCUUCGUCUCUUUCAUUCUCCUUCGUCUUUUUCAUUCUUCUUAACCGAAUCUUCCGGCUUCUUUUUUCUUUUUGAACAAUGUCUUUAGUUCCUCCUCUUCCUUCUCAUUCGUCUCUUGACUAUACUAUACUCAAACCCUUCGUUGAUCUAGAUCCUUCUAGGUUUAUAUUAGGUCCUUCUCUUAUAGAGGAACCAUCUCGUACUGACUCCCCUUUCUCUUAUGAGGGAAUUCCUUUGAAAAAAGUUAUUCAUCUCCAUUCUUGGUACUCAUCAGCUUCGACAGGAAAGAGUUUCAGAACUUGGCCAAGCGUAUCUGAAGCAUAUUUGGCCUAGUUAGAUAGAGUAGAAUCCGUUUUUGGCGACUUCUGGCGGGAAAUAGGUAUCUAUGAAGCGAUUCAAUUAUCUCGGCACCCUCUUAUAGCCGAUAACCUUCUUCUAGCCGCCGCUCUUUGUUUCGUAAAUAAUAUGCGUUUCCUCUUGUGAUUCGGCUAAUCUGGAAUGGUCUUUCCCAAUUUGGGGACCAUUUUCCAUACAUUCGGUCUUUUUGACCGAUCGGAAAAACCAGCCGAAGUACUAAAUCACCGACGACAAAUGUCUUUGUUCGAACUUUCUUAUUGUAUGCGCUACGCACUCGGCUUUGGUAUGCUUGUAUAUUAUCUAAAGCUAUCAACCGAGUAUCGCAUAUUUCCUCUGCUUUGUCUUUCAUUAGAUUAUUGUAUUCAUCAGCCGAGAGGUCUUUUUGUUUUUCUAUUCUUAAAGAAGGAACUGUUAUCUCAGCUGGAAUUACGACCUCAUGACCAUAAACUAAUUGGAAUGGUGUCAUCCCUGUUGCCGUUUUAACUGAAGUUCGGUAUGCCCAUAAUACUUCGGAAAGUUUUUCAUUCCAUUUUCUCGGGUACUUUUCGAUAUGUCGCUUCAUAAGGUUGAUAAUUAUCUUAUUUGCUGCUUCUACUUGUCCAUUUGCUUGGGCAUAAUAAGGCGAAGAAUGAAGCAACUUUAUCUUUCGAGACUCGAUGAACCAAACGAACUAUCCUCCUGUGAACAUUGUCCCUUGAUUGGUUGUGACUGUCUCGGGAAUUCCAAAACGAUGAAUUAUAUGAUCUUCUACAAAAUCAAUAAUUUCUUUUUGAGUAACCAACCGAGUAGGUUUGGCUUCCACCCACUUAGUAAAAUAAUCAAUGGCUACUAUUAGAAAUUUGUGACCAGCCGAAAAAUUCGACUGAAUUUCUCCAAUUAAAUCUAUGGCCCAACCUCAAAAAGGUCAUGGUUUAAUUAUGGCGUACAUCUCAGAAGCAGGAACCCUCUGUAUCGAGCCAUGAAAUUGACAUUCUUGGCAACCCUUAGCAUACUCUAUGCAAUCUUGAUGCAUAGUCGGCCAAUAAUAUCCUAGGUGCCGAAUUGUCCAUCUUAACUUUUUUCCUGCUAAAUGGGUUCCACAUAUUCCCUCAUGUGUUUCUCCCAUUAUCAAUAGAGCUUCUUCAGGCCCUAAGCAUUUUAAUAGAACUUCUUCGGCUGUCCUUUUGUAAAGUUGACCAUCCAACAAACAAUAGCAGAGAGCUCUUCUUCUAAUAUUAUAAUCGACCCUUAUAUUAGGAUCCUCCAAAUAUUUGAUCAAUGAUUUUCUCCAAUCUUCUUUCACUUCUAUAGGAGCUAUAAUCGGUUCUCGUAUAUGAACCGAAGGUAGUAACCUCCUCUGAAUAACUAUUAACUCUAACUUCGGCUCUCUGUAUCCUGAAGCCGAUUGGGCCAAUUCAUUUGCCUUUUCAUUUUCCUGUCUGCUCGAAUGUUCAAAUUCGGCUUCUCCGAAAUUGCAUAAUAAUUCUAUUGUCUUCCUCAAAUAAUUUUGCAAAUUCGGAUUCUCACAUCGGUAUUCCCCGUUAACCUGCUUGAUUACUAACUGUGAAUCACCGAUGACUUUGAUUGACUUUGCUUUCAAUUCUUGCAAUAUUUCAAGGCCGAUUAUCAAGGCCUCAUACUCGGCUUGGUUGUUGGAACAACCGAAAUCUAAUUCAAACGCAAAUUGACAAACAUGACCUUCAGGAGAUUGUAUCACUAUCCCUGCUCCUGCAGAUUCGGUUGUUUUUGAACCGUCAAAAUACAACACCCAAGGUUGGCAGCCGAUCAAAUUUUGUUUCGGCUCCUCAAUCUCUACACAUGGGUGAUCGGCCAAAAAGUCAGCUAUAGCUUGGCCUUUGACAGCUUUGGCAGGAACGUAAUUAAGGGAAAACUCGGAUAAAGCUAAUAUCCAUUUCCCAAUUCGUCCUCGUAACACUGGCUUAGAUAACAUAUAUUUUACCAAAUCGGUUUUGCAUAUUACCGAUACUUCAGUUGAUAAAAUAUAAUAUCUCAAUUUUGUGCAUGAAUAAUAUAAAGCCAAACAUAAUUUUUCCAUAGCCGAGUACCGUUUUUCUGUAUCUAACAGACGUCGGCUUAGGUAAUAAAUGGCCUGUUCUUCCUUCUCUUCAUUUUCUUGAGCCAGCAAACAUCCCAAAUUUUCGUCUGCAGCCGAUAUGUACAACUUCAUCGGCUGAUUUGGCUUCGGAGGUACCAGUACCGGAGGAUUUGAUAAAUAUCUUUUUAUAUUUUCAAAUGCCUCUUGCUGUUCUUUUGUCCAAAUGAAUUCUUCUUUAUCUUUCAGCCGAAGUAAUGGGGUAAAAACCCCAAUCCUUCCGACUAAAUUAGAUAUAAACCGCCGAAGAUAAUUAAUCUUUCCCAACAAGCUUUGCACUUCUUUUUUGCUUUUAGGCGGCGGUAGUUCUAAUAUGGCUUUCGCCUUAUUUUGAUCAAUUUCUAUCCCUUUCUUAUGCACUAAAAAUCCUAAGAAGUUUCCUGCUGAAACUCCAAAAGCGCAUUUCGAAUGGUUCAUUUUCAAAUUAUAUUUUCCCAUUCUUUCAAAGGCGAGCCUUAAAUCAACCAAAUGUUCGGCUUGUGACUUGGAUUUGACAACUAUAUUAUCGAUAUAUACUUCCAACAUUUUGCCGAUUAAGUCAUGAAAAAUAAAAUUCAUUGCUCUUUGGUAAGUAGCUCCGGCAUUCUUUAAGCCGAACGGCAUAACAACCCAUUCGAAGGUUCCAAUUGAACCGGGGCAUCUAAAAGCUGUUUUAGCAACAUCUCCCUCAGCAAUAUAAAUUUGAUUAUAACCAGCAUGUCGAUCCAUAAAGGACAGAAUUUCAUUGACGGCAGCCAAAUCUACUAGCAUAUCAGCUAUCGGCAUUGGAUAUUCAUCUUUAAGUGUGGCUAAAUUUAAGUUCCUAAAAUCAAUACAAACUCUAAGUUUGCCAUUCUUUUUACGCACUGGAACUAUAUUAGACACCCAAUCAACAUAACGGACCGCUCUAAUAAAUCCGGCCUUUAAAAGAUUUUCGAUUUCAUUCUUAAUUUGGAGUACAAUACUCGGCUCAAACCUACGAGCCGGUUGUUUAAAAGGCUUGAACCCUUUUUUGAUGGACAGCCGAUGCUCUAUAAUCUCUCGGCUUAGACUUGGCAUUUCUUCAUAGCUCCAGGCGAAGCAGUCCUUGUACUCCUUCAACAGCUUCUUCAAUUCUUCCUGUUACUGAGCCGACAGCUUGGAACUUAUAAACGUCGGCCUGUUGUCUUCGUAAGACCCCAGGUUUACUUCUAUCAACAAAUCCUGGGUCUCCAGCUUUUUUUCGCCGACUUUAAUAGGCGAUUCUUCCAGCUUCAUUUCUGAUGUUUGCCUAUUCAUUUGACCUUCCUCUUCGGCUUUAUGACACGAAUCUUUUAUAACUUCUUCGGCCUUAUUGGCCGAAUUGUCAAGUGUUAACACAUCGGCUAUAACAGCCGAAUUAUCCUCAUAGCCGAUCUUGUUGAUUGGCUCAUCCUGUUGAGGCUUAUGCCAAGCCUCUAUUCUUGACUUUUGGGACUCCAUUUUAACCAUCUAGGUGGCUCUUCAUCAGCCACCAUAGCAUUGAUAUCUUUGGAGAGAAUUAAUUGAAUCCUCUCCUCCGUUACUCUCACAAACGAAAUCUGAUCUGGAUCAGCAUCGGCCCAAUUGGUGUGGCCGAUGUCCUCCAUGUUGAUAUCUAUAAUUUGAGACCGCCCCUUGGCCCGGAUUUCUUCUACCUUGUCUCCUAUCCACUGGAACAAUUUUUCGUGGAGUGUGGAGGGUACGCACUCAUUCGAGUGUAUCCAAUCUCUCCCCAAUAGUAAGUUGUAGUGGCUAUUUGCAUCCACUACAAAAAACGCAGUUUUUAAAGUUUUUGAGCCUACCGUGAGUUCGGUGGUGAGCACUCCUCAAGCUUGUUGACCGUUUCCUGUGAAAUCGAUCAUGAUUGAAUUGGUGAGCUUCAAUUCGUCUUCAUCUUUGCCCAACUUCUUGAAAAAGGAAGUGGGCAUCACAUUGACCAUAGCACCGCCGUCUACCAUAACUCAGCCUACCGGCCGACCUUCUAUUAAAGCUUUUAUAAAGAGAGGUCUUAUGAACCUCGUCUGCAUGGCCGAUGGUUUCUCAAAAACCACUGCAUCGGCCUGUCGAACAUCCUCUAGUUGCAAUUGGGCUACUGUAAGCCCAUCUUCCUCUUCUUCUCUGAAUUCCUCGUACUCAACAAACUCUGCUUUGAAGGAUUGAGGCAGAGCAUACACCAUAUUCACCUCGGCUGGUGAUUCAUCAGCCGACUUUUCCUUGAUUCUCUGUUUCUUCUCUUCUGACUCCUUGGCCAUUUCGGCUGAAGAAUCACUCUCCAUGCGAACCUCCCUCUCUUUAGGAGGCCAUCUUUCUCUCUUAAUCAUCGUCUCGAGGGAAGCUAUUUUAUCUUCUAACUCUCUCCUGGUCAUUUUCUCUUCCGACUCGGCCUCGGUUGGCUGUUCCACUCUCGACUUUAACUGGAGGGCGGGCGUUGAGCCGCCUGCCUCAUGGUCAACGCCCACCUCAUGGUCAUUUCUCAUUGGACGAAAAGGGUGUGACCGCUCAUCAGGGCGUCUCCACACAUUGAGCCUCAUCCCUUUCGCCUCUUCAUAAUUUUGUCUUGUCUCGGCUUGCAUCCUCUGUUGCCGACGCUUUUGAAUUUUUGUUAACAUCGGCCAAUGCCACCUAGCCGAUGGUUUGACUUCAACCUCGUGCCAUUCAUCUACUAGCACAUUCGCUGGUACUUUUACCGUUCUUAAAUGAUUUUUCAGAAUUUCUCUUCUUUCCCAUGGUCUCGGCCAAGACUGAAUGCCGAGUUCGUUGACUAACCUCCGACCGAGGAAUUCUAUGUCUCCCUCGGUCAUUCCUUCGAAUUUCGGUUCUAGUCUCGGCCUGGCUUGCUGUUGCCAGUGUGGCCGAUACCCAGGGAACCUUUGCUUGGAGCCGAAUGGUCUAUCCUGGUAGUCCCAUCGGCCAUGACAUUCUCCACGCCUGUUGUUGUAGUAAUCAUGCAGAAUCUUCUGCAUCAGCAUAUCUUUCUUGCGUUGAACCGAAUCUACUUCCAGUUCAGUGUCAUUAGAGGCUGCGUCCAAGCCUUCUUCUUGUUGGUCUUCACCAUCAGGAAUGUCAUCCCAAUCCUCGGGGAACGCCAUCAACUCAUUCCAUUCGUUUUCCCUUUUCUUGGCAUUCACGAUGGCUUCCCUGUCUUUCUUCGUCAUUUCAGUCUUGCACCUGAUGCAAAGCCGAAGAUGCUUUUUGGCAUGGGCCACGUUGUCAGCGGUCUCCUUGUCCAUAACCUCUUUUCCUUUAACAUUCACCAUAUUAACCUGAAAUAAAAACGAACUUCUGUUAAUUUCUUUACUUUCGUUUUCCUCGUAGGCUAAUAUGAGCCGACCCUCGUCUAUUUCUUCUUGGAUCUGCCUUUUCGUAGUCGCUUUUCCUUUCCUUUUCAUGUUCACGGCGUUGACCUGUGAUGGAAAAGGAUUCUUAUCAAUUUCCAUAUCUCUAUUUUCUUGGUCGGCAAAGAUCAGCCGACCAUCAUUUAUCUCUUUUUGAAUUUGCCUCUUAAAGGCAGUACAUUCACUAGUUUUAUGGCUCCAUGAAUGAUGUCAUUUGCAGUAUUUUCUGCAUUUCAGCUCUCCCACAGGAGGUAUAGUUUGACCCUCUUGUAGUUUAAUUCGUCCGUCCCUUAGCAACCGAUCAAAAAUCAAGUCGGUUCUUGCUAUAUCAAAUGAAUAAUUAAAAGCAGAUAUAUGUGCUUUCGCCUCUCUUGACUUGGCAGGUUUUAAUAAAGCACAUUUAUAUGGUUGAUUAUUUCUCACCAUCUCUGCUGCGCAAAUUUCGACUUCAUCAGCCGAAUCCUCAUUUUCUUCAGACGAAUUCGGCUCUUCAUGAGCCGAAGACUCUUCAAGGAAAGAGAUAUUUUUCUCCUUUCCUUUAUUCCAAUCUUUAUUUCGGCUCCAUCUAGGCCGAUCUUCAUUGUUCCCUUUUUGAAAUUGCUCGUAUUGAGCAACUCGAACUCCCAAAUCGAAAAAAUUUAAAAAGAACUUAUCUUCAAAGUGAUCUUUAAUCUUAAAGUGCAUGCCGUUGAAUGCCAUUUUGGCAAAUUCCGAUUCCGGCAUUCUUACGAAACAUCGGCUUCGAGCCGACUUGAAUCGGUUUAAAUAUUCAUCAACCGAUUCCCCUGUUCUCUGUCUAAAUUGAGCCAAAUCCGCAACUGACAACUCUAGCUCAGUUCUAUAAAAUUGUUCAUGAAAUUUACCCUCCAAUUCGUCCCAAUCUCGGACGGAAUUAGCGGGUAGACUUGUAUACCAAGUGAAAGCCGUCUUGGUUAAUGAAGUGUUAAAUAAUCUUAGCUUCAAAAAUGGGUCUGCCACUGCUUCACGGCAUUGAGCUAUAAACCGUGCGACAUGUUCGACCGCAUUUUCGGUCUCGUCGCCAGAAAACUUGUUAAAUUUCGGCAUCUUCCAAUUUGCCGGAUAUGGAUAUUUUACAUCUAUAUUAGCAGGAUAUGGUGAUCUGAAUACUGGCCGCAUUGCCAGCCUUGCGCCUACUCCGAAAGUUUUUCGGAUGGCCUCCUCUAUUUGCGCAUAUAUCUCAUUAUUAAUUCCUUGGAAAGGAACCUGCGCUGGUACCGGGUUCGGUGGUUGUUGCGCACCGAGAUUUUGUACUAAGGGAUUAAUCCCUUGUACAUUCAAAGCUUGCCCCCUAGCCCCCACGUUUUGGGGCUGGAAGGCUACAACUGGAGGGGGUGGAGGUAACCCCCAAGCCACUUCCGGCUGCUGACCGGCGUUACCAACAACCGGUCUAUAAGCCGCUUGAUACUGUGCCCCCUGGUAUUGGGGCUGACCAACUACCGGUGUUACUGGAUUUUGUAACACCGGUGUCAUCACAGGCACUUGCAGGCCUGCUGUCAGCUGUUCGUUUCGAGUUAACAAUUGCCCUAUUCGGGCAAUGUUCUCAUUAGAGGCCGUAAUCGCGGCCAAGACGGCAUCCAGCCGUGCAGUGCUUGCAUGAUUAUUUUGGUCCAAAGUUUGUAGGACCCGAGUCAUUCGGCCAAGCGCUUGGGUCAAACUAGGCUCCUGUUGGCCAGAUUGACCACUGGUCUCACCCUCAGCGGGUAGGACUACUUGGCGUUCAAUCACAUUUUCUAAGUUGCUGGGUUGUUCACUCCCAGAAUUUCUGAGAAUAGCCCUAUUACGGAGAUUCAUGGCGUUAUCAUCAGCCAUGCUUUAUAUAAAAUGCAAAUUUACCCCAAAAGAUGGGUCCCACCGGGCGUGCCAAAAAAUUGUUGGCGGCCGAAAGUCCCGACCCUUGACCCGGUCAAGAAUCUUCCUCGGGAAGAGCGUCGGGAUGAUGAGCAGCCGCGGAUGGUGACCCUCGAAGUUUGCGCCCACGACGGAUCAAGCGAUUCGGCCGAUGAGGGAUCGAAAUCGGCCGGGUUCGAAGACCUUCACAGUAAAUUCGCUUCGGCGGGAUGAGCCGAAUGAGGAAGGGGAAGUCCAGAAUUCGACUGAGGGAUGAGCCGAAUGACUAAACAACUCGAGAUCUGAUCGGCAAGAAGAGCCGAAAAUGACUUUCUAUUGAAUAGAACAGGGGAGUGAUGCCCGUAGGGCAGACAGACUCCGAGUACAAGAACAGGGGAGUGAUGCCCGUAGGGCAGACAAACUCCGAGUAUGCUAAGUUACAAGAACUACUCCUAUGAAAAAGCGGUAAAUGCAGGAAAGAAAGACGCAAGAAAAUAAAAGUGGUCUUUUGGGCGCAGGGGCGAAGACCCUUUUUUCAGGGUGCUGUAUCCCUAUUUAUAAAGUUGCCCUUGCGUUCAGUUAUUGUCACUGCACGAUCGGCCACUAUAUCCGGAUUUGGAGGACCACCUUCGGCCGAUUGGAACUGCUCAUAACCGCUUGCGGUUGUUACAACUUUUUGAACAGACGCGGCUCAUAUCUUCCGGUGCGUCUUAUAUGCUCCCGGUCCACCGUUUUGACCUGGAUCACGGAUGUAGUCUCGGCUUGCCGGCUAUCCGCGCCGAAUUAGCCCAACACGAGGCUUAAUUUGAGUCGCGGCUAGCGAUGUCAACGGGUCGGGAUUAAAAUCCGUACCCGGACCCGAACCCAGCGGGUUUUAAAAAUCCAUAUCCAUAUCCGUACCCGACCAAAAACCCGAAACCCGAACCCGGACCCGGACCCGGCCGGUUUUAAAAAUCCAUACCGUUAAAUGAAGAUCUAAGGGAUAAAAAUUAUUAAAUAUUUUAUAUACUAUAUAAAUAAAUAAAAAUAAAGUAUGUAUAUAUAUAAUUUAUUCGGAUUCGGGUUCGGGUUCGGGUCGGUUUCGGGUUCGAGUCGGGUAAAUACAAAAUUCAUACCCGUAUCCAUAUCCGUCGGGUUUUUAUUUUCUAUACCCAUAACCAAAUCCAUAACCAUUUAGCUUGGAUAAACCCGCCCCGUUCGGGUUCGGGUUCAGGUAAUAUUUCGGGUAUCCAUACCCAUUGACAUCCCUAGUCGCGGCGUCAUUAACUUGGCCGUAGCGUGUAUAUAUAAUACAUGUCUCCUAACUAGAGUCUAAUCCUAAUUCAAUUAGAAUUACACUCCUAAUUAUAAUCCAUAUAUACCAAAGUAAAUCUAAAUUAUAUAUAAUCCCAAUUAGAUUAGGAUUUAACUCUAAUUUAGAUAACUACAAAUUUAAACCAAAUAUAACAAACACCAUUGAAAAGCCUCAAUUUACACCAUGAAAAUUUCAGUCCUCACAAUAACGCAGUAGCUAAGUCCUGCUUUCCUUGAAUUUAUCCUGAUACCUUUCCACUUAACUAUCUGUUUCAAUUUGCUGAAUUCCCUUGUUGAAUACCUUUCUCCCAUUCGUGUGAAUCUUUUGCAAACAGCUUCAGUGAAAUCACUCCAAGUAACUCUUUGCCUAUUAAUGUAAUAGCUCUGCUUCUAGGUUCUGGCUCUAGCAAUCAAAUGCAUUGUUGCAAUUCCCAGACACUAUUGUUGAAGAAUUUGGUAAACUUCGAAGUACUCUUCACAGUUCUCAACCCAGCUCCUAGGUUCAUCCCCAUUAAAAUAUGGAAAGGAAUACGAUGGUGGCCAGUAGUUCUUGCACUCCAUCUGCUACCCUUACCCUGGUGCCUCCUUCUCAAUAUUUGAAUCAGGAGAUGGCAGUAUUCCGUUCCCACUAUUAUCUCUUGUAUCCAUAGGACCAAUGCUGCUCCCUGUUCUAUUAUUAUGGUUCCUAUAUACAUUAGGGGUGCUAAUAUUUUGGGUUACAACCUAUGUAAUGAGGUUUGAUUGGACAGCAACUUCAACAGUUCCUCAUGCCUACUAGUACUAUCCUUGAUCAUCAAUUCAUGCCUUUCUGAUCAUCUUUGUUUGCAACAUCUCAUAAUGCUUUUGCUCCAGCUCCUUAAUCUCAUUCAUCUGACUGGAUAGCUCCCUCAACUUGCCCUGGUACUCAGUGGUGAGUUUAUGCACCUUUCCCUCUAAAGUUGCAAGAUGCUCACUUAGGUCCCUCAAUCAGGUACCUUCGGCCAUCUUAUUGCUUUCGGGUGUGAAUUUAAAUCAGUUUUGGCUCAUUUUCCCAAUCUUUGUUCACCUCUACUGAAGCUCCCAAACCUAUUCUUCCUAACACUCUCUCUCUUUGUUUUCUAAUUGUAAGGCUCCGAUCCAAUUGACAGAGCUUCCCCACACUGACAGCAAUUACUCCUAUUUCACAGUACACUUGGAAUUAAUAGGAUAUGUAAUGUUCCAUGUUACUGAUGAUCCCGAUUUGAUGAUGUCUAUGAUGAUCAGCUCCUCACUCACCCCUCCCUAGGAUCGGAACUGCUCUACUACUACUCGUAACACUCGGAUCGGAGAUGCACCCGGUGUUAGAGUUUACCCUCGGCGCUCGGAUGGUAUCGAUGAGGGUUCCCUCAGGCCUCAGCAAAAACCUGGGUCAAAGCUAGCUGCAACACACAAUGAUGAAAUGUAGCUGCGUGUGAUGGCGACAAUGAUGACCGAGGACCCUGGCACCACCAGCAGGCUUAGAUCACACCAUCACCAUUGUUGAAGGUGGAUCUGUGACUAGAGCGUCUCAUGGCAAUAGGGAUUGGAGGAGACAUGGGAACGAGAAAAGAAAAGGGGAGGGGAAGAGAGAGAGCUUGGAAAGUUAUAAUUCUGUUAUGAUAUCCAAAAUAGUUAGAACUGAAGCAAUUUAUAAUCCUCGAACCGACUGCCCAAAGGACUCCGCCUUGUUUUCUCCGCCAACCACCACUACAUCCCUAUACACGUCUUCUUCACCUCCCCCGUGCCCUCCAGAGUACCCGGCACGCGUGGGAUAGCGGAUCGUCGACCUUUUGCAAGAUAAGUGGACCCUCUUCUCUUGUGUAAACCUCAGUAUUCCUAUAUCUAUUCUACUCCAUUUAAGCCUGCUCACGUACUAAAACCUUUUUUUUAUUACAGAUAUUACAUCUUCAGCACCACCAGUACGAAGAUUAAUGCAAUCAGAGCACUAGUUUUUUCAUACCAGCAGUUGAAGUCUCCAUUUGAGACCUAAUCAUUUUACAUGAAUUGACCUAAUAUUUUUAGAAGCACCAACCCAUUGGUGUUUCUAAAUUUUUAACCCUUGGAUUUACUCCUUCAUUACUAAUAGCUCUUGAAUCAAAUACUAUUCCACCUACCACCAUCAUCUCAACUCUACAUUUCUCCAUCCACGACUAAAAAUUCAAAAGCACCACUCCCUUGGUACUUUUAAGAGUAGUAUUCUAGCUCAACUCCAUUUAACAUCUGCUUUUACAUUUAUCUCCUUUCAAGACCCAAUCAUUGCACAUCUGCAUGUACACCUAGAUCGACCCUGCUACUUACUCUUUUACAUUAGCCGCUCUCACCCUGGCCCUAGUACAAUUUAUAAAAAGAUUUGCAUGGAAAGAAAAAAUAUAUAUAUAAAUAUUAAGAACAAAAAAAUUUCCAAGCUAGAGCUUUCUUAGAGUAACCAACAUAUUGCAGACUCUAAAAGAGCUUCACUGUAAAGGAAAACUAUUGUAAAUUUCUAACAGAGCAUUAUUACCAGACAGGAAAACUAUCGCAGAUUCCAAUGGGACUUUUUAAACAGUAGGGCACAACAAGCCAUUAGACUCAUUAAUAUGUCACAUCAGAGUCCUAACAGUGAUUUUGCAGCAAGAAUUAAAGAAAUAGGAGCCCAUCAUGUUUUCGCCCCUGCGAGCUUUCUCCGUUUUGAGCUCACAAAAAACUUAUUUGCCCUACAACUUUCCAAAUGACACUCGCAAAAUGCUUGCUCUAUUAAAGACCUCUGUUCCAAACAUUCUUCAGCUUCCCCGGAAGGUCAAUAGUAAAGCAUUACCAUCUAAAUUGCUCAAACAUUCAUGCAUGAAGAAUAUGUUAAACAGAGGACACCCGAGCCGUAAAAAACUAAAGCGAAAUAGUGUCCUAAAAUCAAUAUUUCUAUGAUUAUCGGCAUCAGACGAAAGCCGUGCAUGAUCAAAAUAAGUUCUAACAAGUUGCUUGAACACAAACAUCAGGAANNNNNNNNNNNNNNNNNNNNNNNNNNNNNNNNNNNNNNNNNNNNNNNNNNNNNNNNNNNNNNNNNNNNNNNNNNNNNNNNNNNNNNNNNNNNNNNNNNNNNNNNNNNNNNNNNNNNNNNNNNNNNNNNNNNNNNNNNNNNNNNNNNNNNNNNNNNNNNNNNNNNNNNNNNNNNNNNNNNNNNNNNNNNNNNNNNNNNNNNNNNNNNNNNNNNNNNNNNNNNNNNNNNNNNNNNNNNNNNNNNNNNNNNNNNNNNNNNNNNNNNNNNNNNNNNNNNNNNNNNNNNNNNNNNNNNNNNNNNNNNNNNNNNNNNNNNNNNNNNNNNNNNNNNNNNNNNNNNNNNNNNNNNNNNNNNNNNNNNNNNNNNNNNNNNNNNNNNNNNNNNNNNNNNNNNNNNNNNNNNNNNNNNNNNNNNNNNNNNNNNNNNNNNNNNNNNNNNNNNNNNNNNNNNNNNNNNNNNNNNNNNNNNNNNNNNNNNNNNNNNNNNNNNNNNNNNNNNNNNNNNNNNNNNNNNNNNNNNNNNNNNNNNNNNNNNNNNNNNNNNNNNNNNNNNNNNNNNNNNNNNNNNNNNNNNNNNNNNNNNNNNNNNNNNNNNNNNNNNNNNNNNNNNNNNNNNNNNNNNNNNNNNNNNNNNNNNNNNNNNNNNNNNNNNNNNNNNNNNNNNNNNNNNNNNNNNNNNNNNNNNNNNNNNNNNNNNNNNNNNNNNNNNNNNNNNNNNNNNNNNNNNNNNNNNNNNNNNNNNNNNNNNNNNNNNNNNNNNNNNNNNNNNNNNNNNNNNNNNNNNNNNNNNNNNNNNNNNNNNNNNNNNNNNNNNNNNNNNNNNNNNNNNNNNNNNNNNNNNNNNNNNNNNNNNNNNNNNNNNNNNNNNNNNNNNNNNNNNNNNNNNNNNNNNNNNNNNNNNNNNNNNNNNNNNNNNNNNNNNNNNNNNNNNNNNNNNNNNNNNNNNNNNNNNNNNNNNNNNNNNNNNNNNNNNNNNNNNNNNNNNNNNNNNNNNNNNNNNNNNNNNNNNNNNNNNNNNNNNNNNNNNNNNNNNNNNNNNNNNNNNNNNNNNNNNNNNNNNNNNNNNNNNNNNNNNNNNNNNNNNNNNNNNNNNNNNNNNNNNNNNNNNNNNNNNNNNNNNNNNNNNNNNNNNNNNNNNNNNNNNNNNNNNNNNNNNNNNNNNNNNNNNNNNNNNNNNNNNNNNNNNNNNNNNNNNNNNNNNNNNNNNNNNNNNNNNNNNNNNNNNNNNNNNNNNNNNNNNNNNNNNNNNNNNNNNNNNNNNNNNNNNNNNNNNNNNNNNNNNNNNNNNNNNNNNNNNNNNNNNNNNNNNNNNNNNNNNNNNNNNNNNNNNNNNNNNNNNNNNNNNNNNNN
rnacentral:lncRNA from 1 species